AUUGUUUUUAUCCAAUUUUUGAUGAUUUUUCAAAUUCAGAACAGGGGAACCCGAAAUCAUUCUGACCUUGUCUCACAAAAUUUAUCAUAUCUCAUGAUUUACAAUUCCAUUGCUUACAUAAUUUCUUCUAUAAGAAACUAGACUCAAUAAGCUUUAAUUUCAUAUUUUAUUCAUCCUCUAAUUCCAUUUCUAAAAUUUUUGGUGAUUUUUAAAAGUUAGACUACUGCUACUGUCCAAAACAGUUUUAGUGCAAAGUGUUGAUU
rnacentral:lncRNA from 1 species